rnacentral:tRNA from 1 species
AGUGUAGCGGUUAACACGCCUGCCUGUCACGCAGGAGAUCGCGGGUUCGAUUCCCGUC